rfam:Phytophthora sojae unplaced genomic scaffold PHYSOscaffold_5, whole genome shotgun sequence.
CUAACUGGUAAACACGAACACACAUUCUGUUCUAAUCAGUGUGAAAACUGGUUUCCCUGCUUUUGGUGGGGUCUUUUUCACAUUUUUUUUUGGAACUGCUGCUUUCGGUUAGCUUGCUAGCCAAUCGCGGUACGGUCUCCGGGGGCUUUCACCCAUCCCCCGCGAGGCCAACUACAC